rnacentral:lncRNA from 1 species
CUUGGAGCUCUUGGCCACAUGAACCUCACUGUGCCUCUGCAGGGUGGCUCCAUGUCUUAAUCCCCCAAGUCUUAAUCCUCUCAAGCUCUGCCAUCCCAGUGGUCCCCCAACUGGGAUCAGCCAGGACAUUGGAAGUAUUUGAGCUAAAACUGAAUAUUUUAUCAGAAGUUUGAACUCUGGGUGGGGAGGCAAGAAUGAAUGACCUGGGUGAAAUGUUCGGUCCCUCCCAAUCUUCAGAUGCUUGGAGGAUCUGCAGAGGCAGCAGUCUGUCAACAACUAUGGCAUCCAGCUGGUCAGAAAGACUAGAGGAUUUGACAUUUUGUGGCUGUUCUCUAGAACCAAAGAAAUGAGAACCUCUUGGUAAAAUAUCUGCCAAACAAAUUAUCUGCCAAAAUUACAAUGUAAAACUGAAGAAAACAACUGAUAACUCAGUUAAAAUUUUGGAAAAAUACAAAGAAACUGUGACUGGGGAGAAAUGGUGAGGGAAAUUUUCUCAUUGAAUUAGAGGAUCAGGAGGGCUAAAGGGAGCCCUCGUGCUAUCAACCAAAAUCUCUGUCAAAUUCCAAACAUAAAAUAUCUUUUCUCACUGUUAAAAUAUCUAAGCAGUCUCCACUAGCAGCCCCCGUCCUGGACACAGGAGCACUGCCCUGCCUGGCCGUCAGGUGCUCCCAUAAGCAUCAUUCAGACAGUGAGGGGGGCAGUUGAGGAUUCGGGGGCAGGAGAUGGGGUGGUGGAGAGAAGGAUGUAACUAUCUAAAGUCCAUUUUCCCUGCUGAAGCUACCCAUGGAACUUUUAAAUUGGGUGCAGAUUUAAAAAUUAAUACAAAAUAUUUGAAUAAUCAGGGAUGUAUCAAAUGUUCAUAAAUUACAGCUCCAACUAGGAAUGCCUAAGGAAUUGUUCCUUCCAUUUAAUUG